GCUUCUAAUCUCAGCUGGUCUCACCCGGGACUCCCCAAGUGCCAACCCUAGUCCCCCACGCAGCCCCUUUUCCACUCAGAUAAGAUGAAAGAAACAAUCAUUCAGUACCCCUGUAUUUUUAGUGACUGAAAUCAUGAAAAUUCUGGUCAGGUCCUGUCUUGUCUUGCUUGCACAUGUUAACCACUCCCUCUUUGACCAAUAUCCCUUUUUCCCCACAAUACAAUAUAAAAUGGGGAUAAUGGAUUUU
rnacentral:lncRNA from 1 species